AAGUCGUAACAAGGUAACCGUAGGUGAACCUGCGGUUGGAUCAUUACAAAAUUUGGUUUCAUACCAAACAUUGUGUGCACUUAUACAUGUCUCUGGCAGCCCUGUUAAGGCCUUCAUUGGCUGACCGCGACCUGUUAGCCCGGGUCGUGGUUUUGGGCUGCCGAUGGUGGGAGGGCUUCGAAUUCCAUCGGCCUGACCACCGCUUGAACAAACCUUAGUUUUAUUUUUUUUAUGUCUGAAUCAAUUCACCUAGUGAAAUGAAAAACAACUUUUGACAACGGAUCUCUUGGCUCUC
rnacentral:misc_RNA from 1 species